CCUACGGGUGGCAGCAGUGGGGAAUAUUGCGCAAUGGGCGAAAGCCUGACGCAGCGACGCCGCGUGAGGGAUGAAGGUCUUCGGAUCGUAAACCUCUGUCAGAAGGGAAGAACGGUCAAUGGGCUAAUCAGCAGUGAAUUGACGGUACCUGCAAAGGAAGCACCGGCUAACUCAGUGCCAGCAGCAGCGGUAAGAAGGAGGGUGCGAGCGUUAAUCGGAAUUACUGGGCGUAAAGCGCUCGUAGGCGGUAUGUAAAGUCAAGGGUGAAAUCCCCGCGCUCAACGUGGGAACUGCCUUUGAACCUGGCAAACUGGAGUGUGUGAGAGGAUAGUGGAAUUCCAGGUGUAGGAGUGAACUCCGUAGAUAUCUGGAGGAACAUCAGUGGCGAAGGCGACUAUCUGGCACAUAACUGACGCUGAGGAGCGAAAGCGUGGGUAGCAAACAGGAUUAGAUACCCUUGUAGUC
rnacentral:rRNA from 1 species